GGUGUUGCACCUACCGUUGCACCACUGCAAAAAUAAUCAUGAAUAUCAUGCAAACAUGGCUUCCUUGGUAAGGAAGAGGUCGACAGUUCGAAUCUGUUCAACAGCUCCA
rnacentral:tRNA from 1 species